rnacentral:tRNA from 1 species
GAGAAAUGGCAGAGUGGUCGAAUGCGGCGGUCUUGAAAACCGUUGUACUCUUUCGAGUACCGGGGGUUCGAAUCCCUCUUUCUCC